AUGCAAAUCCACAUCCAAACAAAUACACACACAUACACAAAAACCAACAUAAAGAGCCUGGCAAGAGUUCAGCGUCUUGGAGUCGAAUGUCUUCCUUAAAUCAGUACCCAAUUCAUGUUAUAGACGGGGUCAUUGUAAUAAUGCAACUGAAUGAACAUCACACUGAGAAGUACAAGUCAUUUCAAACACUUCUGAGACCAAAUUCCACAUUUUGUAAGGCACAAAUGUCAACACGAUUUGUGGGAAAAACUUUACAUUUGCAAUCUCAAACUUUCUAAUUGCCACCAGUAUUUCCAAUUUUAACCUAGUAUGAUGGUAGUGUCCAAAGGCCCUUACUUAAGAAGACAUGAAUAACUAUAGUUAAUGCAAAAAGCUACAUGUGAAUUGCAGGAGAGAUACGUGGAGAAAUGCUUCACAGAAAAGUGGAGAAGGAAAAGGAAAUAAGCUUCCUGUUAACCGACAAAAAA
rnacentral:lncRNA from 1 species